rnacentral:misc_RNA from 1 species
GAAAUGCGAUAAGUAGUGUGAAUUGCAGAAUUCAGUGAAUCAUCGAAUCUUUGAACGCACAUUGCGCCCCUUGGUAUUCCAUGGGGCAUGCCUGUCCGAGCGUCAUUACGCACCCUCAAGCCCGGCUUGUGUGAUGGGCCCUGGCGUCUCGUUCGCGAGACGGGCCCGAAAGGCAGCGGCGGCGUCGACCCGAUGAGCCCGAGCGUAUGGGGACUUUUGUCACACGUUUGCGGUGCGGACCGGCGCCUGCUUGACUUUUCUGAUUAUCCAGGUUGACCUCGGAUCAGGUAGGGAUACCCGCUGAACUUAAGC